rnacentral:rRNA from 1 species
GACGAACGCUGGCGGCGUGCUUAACACAUGCAAGUCGAACGAUGAAGCCGGAGCUUGCUCUGGUGAAUUAGUGGCGAACGGGUGAGUAACACGUGAGUAACCUGCCCUUGACUCUGGGAUAACUGCGGGAAACUGUAGCUAAUACCGGAUACGACCCUCGGAGGCAUCUCCUGGGGGUGGAAAGAAUUUCGGUCAAGGAUGGACUCGCGGCCUAUCAGCUAGUUGGUGAGGUAAAGGCUCACCAAGGCGACGACGGGUAGCCGGCCUGAGAGGGUAAGGUGCCCAACUGGGACGGUGACCCGGCGCAGGCUCCUACGGGAGGCGGCAGUGGGGAAGAAUGCACUAGGGGCGCAAGACUGAUGCAGCAACGCCGCGUGAGGGAUGACGGCCUUCGGGUUGUAAACCUCUUUUAGCAGGGAAGAAGCGAAAGUGGCGGUACCUGCAGAAAAAGCACCGGCUAACUACGUGCCAGCCGCCGCGGUAA